GGGAGAGGAGGAAGACCAGGCUAGAGGAGGGAGACCAGGCUAGAGGAGGAAGACCAGGCUAGGGGAGGAAGACCAGGCUAGGGGAGGAAGACCAGGCUAGAGGAGGAAGACCAGGCUAGAGGAGGAAGACCAGGCUAGAGGAGGAAGGCCAGGCUAGAGGAGGAAGGCCAGGCUAGAGGAGGAAGACCAGGCUAGAGGAGGAAGACCAGGCUAGGGGAGGGAGACCAGGCGAGAGGAGGGGGCACAUGAAGGAAACCCAGCUCCUGUCUUCUGCCAACAGAAACAACCAGAGGUUUAACAUGCACAGUGCAGCUUCUCUAGUAACCACAUACAUCACUUUUUGGUCCUUAAAGGAAGCUGCUGUCUGACAGGAGAUGAUUAGACCCUGAC
rnacentral:lncRNA from 1 species